GACGAACGCUGGCGGCGUGCUUAACACAUGCAAGUCGAACGGAAAGGCCCUGCUCUUGUGGGGUGCUCGAGUGGCGCACGGGUGAGUAACACGUGAGUAACCUGCCCUUGACUUUGGGAUAACUUCAGGAAACUGGGGCUCAUAUCGGAUAGGAGCUACUGCUGCAUGGUGGGGGUUGGAAAGUUUCGGCGGUUGGGGCUGGACUCGCGGGUUAUCCGCUUGUUGGUGGGGUAGUGGCUUACCAAGGCUUUGACGGGUAGCCGGCCUGGGAGGGGGACCGGCCACAUUGGGACUGAGAGACGGACCAGACUCCUACCGGAGGCAGCAGUGGGGAAUAUUGCACAAUGGGCGGAAGCCUGAGGCAGCAACGCCGCGUGCGGGAUGACGUCCUUCGGGUUGUAAACCGCUUUCGCCGGUGACGAAGCGUGAGUGACGGUAAUGGGUAAGGAAGCACCGGCUAACUACGUG
rnacentral:rRNA from 1 species